rnacentral:rRNA from 1 species
UACAGAGGUCCCAAGCGUUGUUCGGAUUCACUGGGCGUAAAGGGUGCGUAGGUGGUUAGGUAAGUCCGAUGUGAAAUCUCCAGGCUCAACCUGGAAAUGGCAUUGGAUACUAUCUAGCUUGAGGAGUGGAGGGGGGACUGGAAUUCCUGGUGUAGCGGUGGAAUGCGCAGAUAUCAGGAGGAACACCGGUGGCGAAGGCGGGUCUCUGGGCCGUUACUGACGCUGAGGAGCGAAAGCGUGGGGAGCGAACAGG